rnacentral:rRNA from 1 species
GAUGAACGCUAGCGGCAGGCUUAACACAUGCAAGUCGGGGGGUAUAGUAGCAAUACUAGAGGCCGGCGCACGGGUGCGUAACGCGUAUGCAAUCUACCUUUCACAGAGGGAUAGCCCAGAGAAAUUUGGAUUAAUACCUCAUAGUAUUAUAGAGUGGCAUCACUUUAUAAUUAAAGUCACAACGGUGAAUGAUGAGCAGGCGUCCCAUUAGCUAGUUGGUAUGGUAACGGCAUACCAAGGCGACGAUGGGUAGGGGUCCUGAGAGGGAGAUCCCCCACACUGGUACUGAGACACGGACCAGACUCCUACGGGAGGCAGCAGUGAGGAAUAUUGGACAAUGGGCGCAAGCCUGAUCCAGCCAUGCCGCGUGCAGGAUGACGGUCCUAUGGAUUGUAAACUGCUUUUGCACAGGAAGAAACAACGCUACGUGUAGCGUCUUGACGGUACUGUGAGAAUAAGGAUCGGCUAACUCCGUGCCAGCAGCCGCCGUAACAC